UACGGGAGGCAGCAGUGGGGAAUAUUGCACAAUGGGCGAAAGCCUGAUGCAGCUAUGCCGCGUGUAUGAAGAAGGCCUUAGGGUUGUAAAGUACUUUCAUCGGGGAGGAAAAACAAAACUAAUAAUUUUAUUUCUUGACGUUACCCGAAAAAGAAGCACCGGCUAACUCCGUGCCAGCAGCCGCGGUAAUACGGAGGGUGCUAGCGUUAAUCAGAAUUACUGGGCGUAAAGAGCACGUAGGCGGUUUUUUUAAGUCAGAUGUGAAAUCCCUGGGCUUAACCUAGGAACUGCAUUUUGAAACUGAAAUACUAGAGUAUCGUAGAGGGAGGUAGAAUUCUAGGUGUAGCGGUGAAAUGCGUAGAUAUCUGGAGGAAUACCUGUGGCGAAAGCGGCCUCCUAAACGAAUACUGACACUGAGGUGCAAAAGCGUGGGGAGCAAACAGGGAUUAGAUACC
rnacentral:rRNA from 1 species